rnacentral:lncRNA from 1 species
UGUUGUGAUAUCAAAUAUACCUCUUGAGUUUCCAUCCCGUUGCAUUACUUUAUGAUGAUACUCCAUCUCUUCUAUUUUUCCGUAUAGAAAUUCUUUUUAGAACCACGAAUACGGAACCGCGAACAAAAUCCCGAACUCCUGCUUUCUUUCUUUCUUUCACGUUUUUUUUUCUCUUUCUGUUGGCUUUCUUUGCUUCUUCUUUUGUUUUUACGUUU